rnacentral:tRNA from 1 species
GGGCCUAUAGUUGAGUGGUAGAGCAUUUGACUGCAGAUCAAGAGGUCACCGGUUCGAACCCGGUUGGGCCCU